UCAAACAUGUCAACCGUUAGUAUGAGAAUCAAAAAGUUGACGUCCCAAGUCAGAUCGUCAGCAAGAAUCAUUUUCAUCCGAGAACUGAAGGGAAAAGGUCGAAAAAUGAGUCAAGAAUCGGAAAUUAUAAAAGCUUGUUCAAAUUAUUUGAAUGCAAAAAAGGAAGCGAAAGCCAAAAACAUGGCCGUACGUGAAGUACAGCAUCUGUUGGAUGGUAUUACUAUAGCUCUUGAUAAGGCCAAGGAGGAUCUGAAAGAGGCCAAGAAGAAGGAACGUUUCGAAAAGAAGAUUUUGCAUAAAAUGCUAAAAAAGCCAUUAUUUAAACGUGCUGUGAAUUACCGUGUUUCUUCUGCUAUUAGGGAUUCGAUUCCGUCUUUCAUUGAAGAUGAAAAUAUAAUAUCGGCAUAUAUAAUAUCUCCCAUAUAAUAUCGGUAAUUAUAGGUGAUGUUGUCUCUUCCCCAGUCUCAAUAAAACAGGAGCCGGAGGAAAAAUAAAAUUAAACGAAUUCUGCUAGACACAUUUGCACACAAAUGAAUUAUACCGUCACUUAUAUAGUUUGGUUGACAUCAAGACCAUUGAUCGCUACAAGAACAUGGAAUACUAUUACAAUAAGUUUGUUUUAAUUGAAAUUUUAAACUUAAACAUUCUUAACUAUCUUAAUUCAAAUGUAUACACAUCAAAUGUACAUGCAAAAUAGUUUUAUUAAAUUCAGCUAUUUCUGUUGGUAUAUUCUAAA